AUGUUUUGUAGACAAAGCCGCAACCCAUCCACCUGUUUUCAUACAAAUACCAUUACCAUAUACCACCACCAUGGGAAUUUCCAUGAAAAUUCCUCGUGUUGGGGAUCAUUAUGUUAGUCAGUUAUUUUCUUAUUGGUGGUCAAUUUCCCGCUCAAUUAAAUAACUGGGCUACUUUCACCAGCGAUUGAUUUUUCCACACGCUUCUUACAACAUGUACCGUUUCGAUCCGAUUUCUUAUUAUUGAGAAUUGAAUUACGCAAGAAUAAUACUUUCAAUAGAAGAACAAGGGAAUUUGCCAAGCCUCUAAUGGUCGCUUUUCUAUUGUUGUUACUUGUGACAUUUUAAGUGCACGCUCUUACAACACGAACUUGCAUUUAUCCUAAUUGAUUAAUUAAAAAAAUUCGAAUUCGAAUCACGCGCCAUUUUAUGCACAACAAACAUGGCUGGGAAAGGCUGGAAUUAUAUGUCAGGGGCUCCGGAAACCGACGAUCAGCAAAGACUCCGCUUCCAGAUUGAGCUAGAGUUUGUGCAGUGUCUCGGAAAUCCUAAUUAUCUCAACUUUCUCGCACAGCGUGGUUAUUUUAAGGAUAGUACGUUUGUUAACUAUUUGAAGUAUUUGCUUUAUUGGAAGGAGCCCGAAUACGCCAAAUAUUUGAAAUAUCCAAUGUGUUUGUAUUUUUUGGAUUUGUUGCAAUAUGAACACUUCCGGAGGGAAUUGGUGAAUGCUCAGUGUUCGAAAUUUAUCGACGAUCAACAACUUUUAUUGUGGCAACACUACACCAGGCGGAGGAGUCGUUUGUUAACCCCUUCGAAUGUUAACGGGACAGGUGAACAAAGUAUUAACCAGAAUAGCCAAAGUAACGGACAUUUGAGCAAUAAAAUCAGCUAGUUACAUAAAUCACCAAGAUCCCACCAAUUGCACCAAAAUCCCACCCAUUUCCAUCCAAAUCACAAUUGAUUGGCUGUCGCUGUAAUUAAGUUUGCAGACUGGCGAUUAUGAGGCUUGUAUAUGGGGUGGCUACGCGAUUGGGUUUUGGCGAACAAAUCGCAGUGGCCUUAAAUGGGGCUUUUGUGCCUCCGGGGGUUGACGAUUACGAUUAUGGGGGUGAUGAUUAUGGGAUUUUGGACAGGGAUGACGAUUACGACUAUUAAUUUAUUUUGUACAAAUGUUUAAAUAAAAUUAUUUUAUCUAAUCAAA